rnacentral:lncRNA from 9 species
GCACGCCCCGCGGGGAGGCGCUGCCUAGUGACUGCGCAGGCGCGGCACGCUGGAGUAGCCCCUUGACUUCCCCCCGUUUUCCUCCCGGGAUCGCCCUCCCGGCUGAGCGGAGGAUGCUUUUCGCCGCGCUUGACGCGUGUGUUGAGCUGAGAGUCUUGGGGCAGCCACCGGCUUGGGUGGCCAUGUGUUCCUGUGUAGCCAUAGCCCGUAUAUGCUAGAAAAAGCAGCGCCCUGGGUCAUUUAAUAGCCUCUAAGCUAAAAUGAGGCGCAUUCAGGAGUGCCGUCCCUCGUGGCUAGUCAUGGCCUGGGAAACAUUACGGCUCCAUCCCGGUUUGCUUAAGGAGCAAGAGUUGGCGUUCAAGAUACCAGGAGUUUGAAAUGGAAAAAACUGGCCGCGCUGCUCAAGCUGGGAUGAUGUAAUCUGCCUUCUAGGGCGAGGAACAGAGGGCCGAGGAUCACCUGGGCGUUGGGAGCACCUCCCGCCAAGUGGAAGCCUCGGUGCUGUGCUCUACAUGGAGAACCAGCUCCAGAACUUUAGCCACCUUUCGGAGUAAGGACGGCCCAAGAGCACUAUACGGAAGCGGGACCCUUCCCUUCGGCCGGAAUUGAACCACCAGCGUCCCAAACUGAAGGAUAGUGAAGCCAACCCCAACCCCAAGCUGCCUCUUCCUUGACUAUCAUUUCUUAUGGCUAACACCCUUUCUUCCCUCUCCUCAGCCUCAGAGUCUGUCUGUGUCGCAACCAAGAUUCCUGACUGACACAUUUGUUUCUGGUAGAACUCCUACGGUGACCCCAACUUUGCCUGACAUUCCCACCACGUCCAUUUUUCCUGUCCCAUCUCACGCUGGCGUUGCCACUUGGAGCUGCCAUACCUCUGCUCAAACCUGGCCCCUGUCUGCCAGUCUCUCUCCCAAGGCCACUGUAAUUUUGAGCCCUCUUCCCCGUGUCCCCACUGCCUCCCUCUAGCCCCGGUCCUAAGGCUCAGGCACCCUGGGCUCCCACCCAUCCAGAGGCCUGAGCAGCUGGGCAGUCAUCCUAACCCUGUUACGAUGUCAGCACUAGACUUAGUGCCGACAAGGGAGAGACUCCUCAGGUGCUAGAAGGGAGGGUCACUGGGAGGAAAGAGGGGCACAGGCAGAGAUGGGACAGUAGCAGAGACAUUGCCAAUUUUUAUAUUUUAUCUAAUAACACGGUUGUCAUUUACUGAGUUCCUGCAUUGUUCUGGCCCUAUAUAUGCAUGACCUUACACUAAUACUUUGAAGUUGAGACUAUCGUAAUCCCCACUUUCAGAGGAGGAAACAAGAGCUUUGGGAUUUGUUUUUUUCCCCCCCUUUUCUUUUUUUCUGAAACAAGUGUUUAAAGAAG